GGGAGCAGCCCAGAAGAAAGGGAUCUGGGGGUCUUGGCUGACAGCAAGUUGAAUAUAAAUCAACAGUGUACCUGGCGGCCAGGAGGACCAACCAUAUUCUGGGGUGCAUCAGGCACGGCAUUGCUAAGCUGGUCGAGGGAAGGGAUUGUCCCACUCUGCUCUGUGCUGGUGUGGCCUCACCUCCAGCACUGUGUGCAGCUUUGGGCACAACACUAUAAAAAUGACAUAAAGCUAUUAGAGAGUGUCCAAAGGAAGGUUACAAAGAUGGUGAAGGGUCUAGAGGGGACGAUGCCUGAGGAGC